rnacentral:rRNA from 1 species
ACGAACGCUGGCGGCGUGCUUUAUACAUGCAAGUCAAGGAGAAAGUUUUCUUCGGAAAACGAUUAAACUGGCGAACGGGUGAGUAACGCGUAGGCAACCUGCCCUAUAGAUUGGGAUAACAUCGGGAAACUGAUGCUAAUACCGGAUGAUGCAACAUUUUCUUCGGAAAGAGUUGUUAAAGCGGGCUUCGGCUCGCGCUUUAGGAUGGGCCUGCGUCCGAUUAGCUUGUUGGUAAGGUAAUGGCUUACCAAGGCAAUGAUCGGUAGCUGGUCUGAGAGGAUGAUCAGCCACACUGGGAUUGAGAUACGGCCCAGACUCCUACGGGAGGCAGCAGUAGGGAAUUUUGCGCAAUGGGGGAAACCCUGACGCAGCAACGCCGCGUGACCGAUGAAGCAUCUAGGUGCGUAAAGGUCUGUCGUAAGGGAAGAAAAAUUCGGAUGUAAAUAAUGUUCGAAUCUGACGGUACCUUACAAGAAAGCACCGGCUAACUUCGUGCCAGCAGCCGCGGUAAUACGAGGGGUGCAAGCGUUGUCCGGAAUCACUGGGCGUAAAGGGUCCGUAGGCGUUUCAAUAAGUCAUAUGUUAAAGACACCGGCUUAACCGGUGACAUGCAUUUGAAACUGUUGAAAUAGAGUAUAGGAGAGGAAAGUGGAAUUCCUGGUGUAGCGGUGACAUGCGUAGAUAUCAGGAGGAACAUCAAUGGCGAAGGCAGCUUUCUGGCCUAUUACUGACGCUGAGGGACGAAAGCGUGGGGAGCGAACAGGAUUAGAUACCCUGGUAGUCCACGCCGUAAACGAUGAGUACUUGGUGUCGGGGGAAUCGACCCCCUCGGUACCGGAGCUAACGCAUUAAGUACUCCGCCUGGGAACUACGACCGCAAGGUUGAAACUCAAAUGAAUUGACGGGGACCCGCACAAGC